CUGCUGCCUCCCGUAGGAGUUUGGACCGUGUCCCAGUUCCAAUGUGGGGGACCUUCCUCUCAGAACCCCUACGCAUCGUCGGCUUGGUGGGCCGUUGCCCCACCAACUACCUAAUGCGCCGCAUGCCCAUCCGUGACCGGGGUCGCCCCCUUUGGCCGGCAGGGGAUGUCCCCUCCCGGCAUUAUGUUGUAUUAGGCGGGAUUUCUCCCGGUUAUCCAUCUGUCACGGCCAGGUUGCAUACGUGUUACUCACCCGUGCGCCGGUCGCCGGCGGCAG
rnacentral:rRNA from 1 species